rnacentral:rRNA from 1 species
UACGAAGGGGGCGAGCGUUGUCCGGAUUUAUUGGGCGUAAAGAGCGUGUAGGCGGCCUGGAAGGUCAGCUGUGAAAACUCGAGGCUCAACCUCGAGACGUCGGUUGAAACCACCUGGCUAGAGUCCGGAAGAGGAGAGUGGAAUUCCCGGUGUAGCGGUGAAAUGCGCAGAUAUCGGGAAGAACACCCGUGGCGAAGGCGGCUCUCUGGGACGGUACUGACGCUGAGACGCGAAAGCGUGGGGAGCGAACAGG